CCCUUAGAUGUCCUGAGCCGCACGCGCGCUACACUGAGUGUCUGAGAUACGAGUCUGCCUGGUCCGGCAAGGUCUAGGUAAUCGCUAAAAGACACAUCAUGCUUGGGAUAGAUUAUUGCAAAUAUUAAUCUUGAACGAGGAAUUCCUAGUAAGCGCAAGUCAACAGCUUGCGUUGAUUACGUCCCUGCCCUUUGUACACACCGCCCGUCGCUACUACUGAUUGGAUGUUUAAGCGAGGUUCUCGAACUGCUAGCGACUUAGCUUCGGUAAGGUCGCAGUGUGGGAAGUGAACCUAGCUUUGGUGUCUAGAGGAAGUAAAAGUCGUAACA
rnacentral:rRNA from 1 species